UACGUAGGGGGCGAGCGUUGUCCGAAGUUACUGGGCGUAAAGCGCGCGUAGGCGGGGGGUUAAGUGAGAGGUGAAAGGCUGGGGCUCAACCUCAUGCAGUGCCUCUCAUACUGGCCUUCUUGAGGGCGGUAGGGAGAAGUGGAAUGGCUGGUGUAGCGGUGAAAUGCGUAGAUAUCAGGAGGAACACCGGUGGCGAAGGCGGGUCUCUGGGCAGUAACUGACGCUGAGGAGCGAAAGCGUGGGGAGCGAACAGG
rnacentral:rRNA from 1 species